UACGUAGGGUGCAAGCGUUGUCCGGAAUUAUUGGGCGUAAAGAGCUCGUAGGCGGUCUGUCGCGUCGGAUGUGAAAACCCAGGGCUCAACCCUGGGCCUGCAUUCGAUACGGGCAGACUAGAGUUCGGUAGGGGAGACUGGAAUUCCAGGUGUAGCGGUGAAAUGCGUAGAUAUCUGGAGGAACACCGGUGGCGAAGGCGGCAUCCUGGACCGGCAUUGACGCUGAGGAGCGAAAGCCAGGGGAGCAAACGGG
rnacentral:rRNA from 1 species